AUGUGCAGACGCGGCGGGCCACCCCGGUGCUCUUCUUGGCGCAACCGACGCGAGUCGCGGGUGCUCCUCCCACGCGCACCGACUGACCGGAGCCGCCAAGAGGCGCGCGGCCCUGAUGGCGAUCGGGAGGCCCCCGCCUCCCCCUCCGUAAUCGCCCUGUCCGUCGACGCCCUCUUUGUCACGGAUCCUGGUCGGCGGCCCGCUCGGAGAGGUCGCCGAGGUGGUGGCUUGCUCGUCGUGUGGCACCGCCGCGUCGCGCCAAUCAUGCCGGACUGGCCCAACGGCUCAUCGCAUACGCGAGCCACCGCUGCGGCAGUGCCUCCUCCGUGGACGGCAGCUGCUCCGCCUCUCCGGCUAAGGAGGGGGCGGGGUUAG
rnacentral:rRNA from 1 species